GACAGAGGUCUCGAGCGUUAGGCGGAAUCACUGGGCUUAAAGCGUGUGUAGGCGGAGUUCUAAGUACCUUGUGAAAUCCCACGGCUUAACCGUGGAACUGCUUGGUAUACUGGUUCUCUUGGGCCACUUAGGGGCUACCGGAACAAACGGUGGAGCGGUGAAAUGCGUAGAUAUCUGGAGGAAUACCGGUGGCGAAGGCGGCAUCCUGGACCGACAUUGACGCUGAUGGCGCGAAAAGCCAGGGGA
rnacentral:rRNA from 1 species